rnacentral:rRNA from 1 species
CCCGUGCGUCCCCGGGACCGCACGUUUACCCCCGCGGUGCUCUUAACUGAGUGUCCGCGGUUGCGGGUGACCGAACGUUUACCUUGACAAAACCGGAGUGCUCGAGGCGUGGGCGUUCGCCGCCCGUACGUCCUCGCUGGGAAUAAUGGAAGAGGACCGUUGGUCAAAAAAGGUUUUUUGUCAGAGAGGCGGAGAGCAAAAAGGAGGUUGUGUUGGCGGGGGGUUAAAAAGGGGGGCGACUCCCUUUCCCCCUCUGGCCUUCCUCUUUCUCCUCCUUGAAACCUUCCUCCCCGCGUCCCGCACCGGGGACCGGUCGGCGCUUUUCGGCGGAAAGGGAGGUUUGAGACAGAAGGGCGAAAGCAGGUGAUCGUUUGCCGGAAAGCGAAAGCUGGACGGCCGGUCGUCUGUGGAAACCUGGAAUCUUAUUCCCCCUCACUGUCGUGGUGCUUCCGGCUCUUCGGUGUCAGCGGGAGGAGGUCGAAAACCAUAAUAAAAAUAACGUGUCAUGAUUAAGAGGGACGGCCGGGGGCAUUCGUACCGCGGCGCGAGAGGUGAAAUUCUAGGACCGUCGCGAGACGAACGAUAGCGAAAGCAUUUGCCAAGAAUGUUUUCCUUAAUCAAGAACGAAAGUCGGAGGUUCGAAGGCGAUCAGAUACCGCCCUAGUUCCGACCUUAAACCAUGCCGUCCGACCGCCCGCCAGGGUUACUACCGCGACUCGGCGGGCGGUGACUUUCCACCGGGAAACCCUUAAGCUUUCGGGUUCCGGGGGAAGUACGGUCGCAAAGCUGAAACUUAAAGGAAUUGACGGAAGGGCACCACCAGGAGUGGAGCCUGCGGCUUAAUUUGACUCAACACGGGGAACCUCACCCGGCCCGGACACCGCGAGGAUUGACAGAUCGAUAGCUCUUUCUCGAUCCGGUGGGUGGUGGUGCAUGGCCGUUCUUAGUUGGUGGAGCGAUCUGUCUGGUUAAUUCCGAUAACGAACGAGACUCUAGCCGGUUAAGUAGCCCGAGUGGCGUGUUGUUGAUUUAAAAACCGCCCUAGUGGCAUUCGUGUCGUUUUCUCGGAAGCUGGCUGGCUUUAACGGUGAUGGGUGAGGGUCGUAGGGAGGUGAUGGUUCGGGUAGCGUGCGUCGCUGCUUGGGUCUAGCUUUCUAACUUCCCUUUACUUCUGUCCUGUUUUGGCCUUUCACUUUUGGGAGCGUCUGCUUGCCUAACUAGGGUAGAUAAAACGCUAACGAGAGUCGGGGGAGCGGGCGUUACUUGUGGAAUGGGCGGGCACGCCACAUGGUGUGUCACUCUUCCCGGUUUCGUAUAUCUGUUUCUCCCGUCGUCUCGCGCCACCGGCUUUCGAGUGCAAAAGCUUCUUAGAGGGACGAGCGGCGUUCAGCCGCGCGAGAUUGAGCGAUAACAGGUCUGUGAUGCCCUUAGAUGUCCGGGGCCGCACGCGCGCUACACUGAAGGGGUCAACGCGCCGUUACGUUUCCCGGGCCGAAAGGCUCGGGGAACCGGUGGAACCCCGACGUAGCGUUCGUGCUAGGGACAGGGACUUGCAAUUGUGUCCCUCGAACGAGGAAUUCCCAGUAGGCGCGAGUCAUCAGCUCGCGCCGAUUACGUCCCUGCCCUUUGUACACACCGCCCGUCGCUACUACCGAUCGAACGAUUUAGCGAGGUCUUCGGACCGGCGGCCGAAGGUGCGCAAGCGCCGGCGGC